ensembl:lncRNA
ACCCUGAGUCCCUCCGGGGAGAUAGGGUGGAAUAUAAAUAUUAUUAUUAUUAUUAUUAUUAUUAUUAUUAUUAUUAUUAUUAUUAUUAUUAUUAUUAUUACCCCAUGAGAAGUGGUUACUGUCUGAUCUGGUUUUGUUUCUACUUUUUCCUUAGUUUCUGUGCCACUUUUUGAAGCCCAUGACAUGGCCACAGUAACACAAUGAGACUAUCUCAAUCAUUUAGUUGGCUUUCAGAAGAUGCUGCCCCCUGCAAUUUUCCCAAAUGCAGAAAAGUCAACUGCAAAAUUUGUGCCAGAGGUGGCAACUUGGCUUACUCAAGAAAGAAGGAUCUUUGCACCGUGUUCCUGUAUCUUGCUUCAAGUAUCAGCCUUGCCGUGAAUCCAGUGGAAUAUUCCAGUGACUUUGCUGUUUGGAAUUUAUUCCAGUCGAGACCUUUGCCUUGGGUUUCAUCUUUGACGUUGUACCUUGGAACUAUUCCUGCAUUCAAGUCUUGUUUUCCUGUGCCUUGUUUGUGGAUCAUCAUUGACUCCACACCUGGAACCACCUUGGAAUUAAUCCAGUCUUGGUUUCCUGUGAUUAUCCUUCAUUCUUGUUCUUUUAUAUUUUGUUAUAUUGUAUUGCUCUGGGCAUGGCCCCAUGUAAGCCGCCCCGAGUCCCCAUUGGGGAGAUGGUGGCGAGGUAUAAAUAAAGUAUUAUUAUUAUUAUUAUUAUUAUUAUUAUUAUUAUUAUUAUUAAUGUCUUGAGUUUUGGACUGUGCUCUUUGAGUGGUUUUUAUAGACUCUUGUCUCAUGAACUUCAAGUACCUUGCUCUUUUGGAUUUAAACCUAAUUUACUGACUCUGAACUAUAUUUUGCGUUUACAUGCUUAUAAUCAUCAAUAACAACUUUCUUGCUUAUAUUCUGGGGCUUCGGUGUGAUUUUGAGGUGCCUGCACAGCCUCAGGGUGCAAUACCUACAUAGGGCGGGCACAGGUGGGAAGCUAGGGUUAAAUAUGGCAGUGCAGAAGAGUGAUUACAGGACUAUGCAUCAUUGAAGCAGCACCAUAGCACUAUUGGUGAGAAAGUGUGAAAGUCACUGUUUCCAUAUCAGAAUAUUUCCAUUUACUUAAAUAAUGUGAUUGCUGCAAGACAAUAGGCUAAUGUGAUAAUGUCCCUAGUGAAACUCUCAAAUCAUUAUGCUAUGUUGGAUCUUAGUUACAUUUAAAAUUCUUUGAUUGUGAAUAGAUGCUGAAUGCUGUUUAAUCCCUAGAAGUACUGGCUUUUCUGCCCUUUUCUAUUUGUAGAAAUGCUUUUGAAAAGGCUAAAAUAUAUUAAAGGACUUAUUGCUAGUUUAGCAACUGGAUGGGUCCCUGGUGUCAUUAUUUAUUACCUCAUUAAUAUAGCAGUAAUGAGGAAAAUAAAGGCAUUCAUAAUUUUUUCCCAGUCUGUGACCAGCAUUAAGCUUUCAUAAUUUACCCGGCACUUUCCUUGCAGAGGCGUGGCCAUUUUCAAAUGUCAUCCUAUCUGGAAGUCAAGGAGCCCAGAACUGGCAUUUGCAUGCACAUUUCCUCUUCUUGAUGCAAAUCAGGUUGUAAGAAGAUUGAUCUAUUUGCAUAAUUUGAAGGUCGCUUUGUUGGACAAGGUAUUAAAAACAAACAUCCACAUUGAUUCUACUGUUUUACAAGCUCAUUAGUGUGGUAUUAUAUAUGUAUCCCACCACACCCUGCUCAUCUUAACUGGACAGGGGCAUCAAUCUCAGUGAGGUAAAGGCAGAAAUCAUGAUGGCAUAAAAGUCUCAUCUGGACCUUGUAUGCAAAUCAAUUGUUUACAGAAGACUUCAGAGUUGUGCCUUGGUGAAUAAUUGUUUGUUCUUUUGUCCUUUGGGGUUCUAGCAUAUGAACUGGAACAUCAUGGUGUCUUCAUUCAUCAUUAUCUUUAGGCGUAAGUGAUGAAAAGAAGGCUUUGGAUCUUAGCCCGGAAGCAGCAUGCACCUGUUCUUGACAUCCUUGGAUUCAUGCUCAGUCGGCUUCAAGGUCUGUUCCAUUUUAGGUCUGAAUUCAUCUUUAAUCAGAUAUUAUCAACAGGAAAUAAGUAUUUCAACCAAACUUAAAACAUUCAAAUGAGGGCAUAAGUGAGAUAAUUGACUAAUAUGGAGUGCCAUCAGGAGAGCUACAUUAGAAAAUGCCAAAAUCACCCCGGGUUUUGCUAUUGCCAUCUGCAAAUCUGGCUUCUUGCCCUUUCCCUCUGGCUCUGUAUGCCCACUGUUUCAAAGACAGGCCCUACACGGGAGGCUGAAAGCUCCUUGGGAAUAGAUGGCUCUUCAAGCAGAGAAAGAAACAGUAAUUGACGAAAGACUCAUCUCUCUUAUCACUAACUCUCCACUCUAAAUUCCCUCUCCUGAAGUGUUUUUUUCUUCUUCUUGGUUUUGGGUCAUGCCAUCUACAUGUGUGUGAAUGCAUAUAGUUAUCUCCUUAGGGAUGAAAUCACCAAAGGAAGCCAUGUUGCUUGUAAGGGGGAUCAUACAAGAGUAAUAAGAUAUUAAAUUAAAAGUCACAAAAAGAGUUUAAUAAAAUAUAACCCAAAACCACAAAAGAACGAGGCCUUUUGUGGCCAACCAAAAUGCACGAAAGACAUCAGACAAGCUUUUGAAGCUCCUCUGGCUUCUUCAUCAGACAAGACAAAGUGAAACUGCGGUGCUUAAAGCAUCAACCAGUCUUUCCUUUAAGUGUUUGCAAGCAAUUGAUGACGUUCGACAAUAAUGUAAAACAAAACAAUGUUGCAUGAAUAAUUAUUAUUGUCGUCAUCAUCAUCAUCUCCAUACAGUAAUUGAAACUAUUGGGUUAACACACACACACACACACACAUAUAAGCAGAAUUAAAUGUGCAUUACAGUAGAGUCUCACUUAUCCAACAUAAACGGGCCGGCUGAACGUUGGAUAAGCGAAUAUGUUGGAUAAUAAGGAGGGAUUAAGGAAAAGCCUAUCACACAUCAAAUUAGGUUAUGAUUUUACAAAUUAAGCACCAAAACAUCAUGUUUAACAACAAAUUUGACAGAAAAAGUAGUUCAUUAUGCAGUAAUGCUAUGUAGUAAUUACUGUAUUUAUGAAUUUAGCACCAAAAUAUCACGAUGUAUUGAAAAUAUUGGCUACAAAAAUGCAUUGGAUAAUCCAGAAUGUUGGAUAAGCGAGUGUUGGAUAAGUGAGACUCUACUGUAUUUUAAAAUAACACCAUUGCAGUAUGCUAGAUUAGGGGGUCCAAUGUGGGUCAUGUGACAUCCACAAAUUUAUAUAACAUUUUGUCCCUGCUCAGUGUACACCUCUAAGCAGUUGUCGUGUGAGACGGCCACCUCAUUCUCACUAAUGGUAGGGCCAUUCCUACCAAUCAAUGGAAAUAUAAUUCUCAGGAAUUCACAAAGUUAAAAAUGUGUAUUCGUGUAUGUGUAAAGGUAGUUGGAAACUGUCUUACUCUGGAAAUAUCUGUAAUAGUGCACUUUAUGCUAUUUAUACAGUUAAAAAUAUAGCAAAGGGUAAUCUCAAAUAUGAAGUGGCUCUUAACAAUGCUAUAAUAAUUCCACCUACUUUCUUUGUUGGAAAGAUCCGUAGAAAAGCACACUCGAACACUACUUCUUUGUUGCUUGUUGACAUUCUGUUAUAAUAAUCCUAAAUUUAGGAACUAAAGCAGCCAAAGGAACAAGAUCUCCAAAAAAGGGCCCAUUCGAAGGGAAGAAAUGGGCAAAUAAUGAAGAGCUUCAUUUAGCUACUCUGACUCAGUGUGCAAACAAAGAUAUUAUGACUAUGCUUCUUUAAUUAUUUUCUGGCUUUAAACUUAAAUUUGUUUAUUGUGUCUCCGAAAUAUGAAUUUAACCUUUAAAGAGAUUUACUAGCUAAAGCCUUUGUCCACAAAAUGGAGCAUGGGUGGGGGUUUGCAUCAUGUCUAGUUUGACCAUGAGACUCCUGCUGGACACAUUUCUGGGAGCAUUUUCAAUUGAUGAACAAAUAUGCCCAUCAUCAUCGUCAUCAUCAUCAUCGGCUAAAACUCAUGGCUAAGUAUGAUUGCUUGAAGGACUAGGGGAAACUGAAGCAAUUGAUGGGCAACUAUUCCCACACUGUUUUGCUGUGCAUAUGCCU